rnacentral:rRNA from 1 species
GAUGAACGCUAGCGGCAGGCUUAACACAUGCAAGUCGAGGGGCAGCAUGACGGAACCUUCGGGUUUUGUUGAUGGCGACCGGCGCAAGGGUGCGUAACGCGUGAGCAACUUGCCCGUUUCAGGGGGAUAACCGGUGGAAACGCCGACUAAUACCCCAUAGCAUCAUAUUCAGGCAUCUUUAUAUGAUUAAAGAAUUUCGGAAACGGAUAGGCUCGCGUGACAUUAGCUAGAUGGCGGGGUAACGGCCCACCAUGGCGACGAUGUCUAGGGGUUCUGAGAGGAAGGUCCCCCACACUGGAACUGAGACACGGUCCAGACUCCUACGGGAGGCAGCAGUGAGGAAUAUUGGUUCAAUGGCCGGGGAGGGCUGAACCAGCCAUGCCGCGUGAAGGU